UGGAUUGGAACGGGUGGGUAUGGGGCAGGCGGACGUGGGCUGAUAGACAUGGGGUAGGUGGACAGGGGACAGAUGGACAUGGGACAGAUGGACACAGCAUGCAUGAAUAUGGAUAGACUGACAUGGGAUGGAUGGAUACAGGGCGGGUGGACAUGAGGUGGGAUGACGUGGGACGGGCAGACAUAGGAUGGAAGGGUAUGGAUAGAUGGACGUGGGACAGGUGGACACUGGGUGGAUAUGGGAUGGGCAGACAAGGGGUGGUGGAUGGACAUGGGGUGGACAGAUAUGGGAUGGAUGGAAUAUGGGAUGGGCAGACAUGGGAUGGAUGGACAUGGGAUGGACAGAUAUGGGAUAGGUAGAAAUGGGAUGGAUGGAUAUGGGAUGGAUGGAAUAUGGGAUGGAUGGAUAUGGGAUGGACAGAUAUGGGAUGGAUAGAAAUGGGAUGGAUGGAUAUGGGAUGGAUGGACAUGGGAUGGAUGGAUAUGGGAUGGACAGACAUGGGAUGGACAGAUAUGGGAUGGAUGGGCAUGGGAUGGACAGAUAUGGGAUGGGUAGAAAUGGAUGGAUAUGGGAUGGAUGGACAUGGGAUGGAUGGAUGGAUAUGAAUGGAUGGGUAGGCAUUGGGUGGACCUGCGAUGGGUGGACAUGGGAUGGAUGGUAUGGGAUGGAUGGAUAUGGGAUGGAUGGGUAUGGGAUGGAUGGACACAGUGGAUGGAUAGAUAUGAAUGGAUGGGUAGACAUUGGGUGGACUUGGGAUCGGUGGACAUGGGAUGGAUGGGUAUGGGAUGGAUGGACAUGGGAUGGAUGGGUAUGGAAUGAUGGAUAUGGGCUUGAUGGAUAUGGGAUGGAUGGACAUGAAAAGCUAACAAGGGCCAGAUGGACGUGGGGGGGUGGCCCAGCACCCCACCUCCCUCCUCGCACCCAUCAGUGCUGCGGUACCCCCACCCAGCACCCACCCGCCCCAUCCCCGCACCCCCCGUGCCCCACAUCCCCCUCCCCACGGCGCCCAUCCAUGCUGGCUUUUCCGGCCCAGCUGUCCCGCGGGGCGCGGGGGCCGGGGCAGGAAUUCGGCCGGGGCUGAGCAGCGCGCGGCAGCUCCGGAGACAGAGCAGCCUCUGAAUGCAGGGAAUGUUUUUGCAGCUGGAGUCCAUUAGGGGAGGGCUCGGCGGCUUUAUUAAUCCCAGCCUUAUUGCUCAAGAGGCGCGGGAGGGCAGGGGGAGCGCGGGGUGCGCGCAGGGGGGAGAGCGGCCGUGAGGGGGGGUGUGGGGGGCAUAAAGAGCAGUGAGUGUGCGAGGAGGGUCUCCCUGACGACGGCCGUCCCUCCGCCGCGGGGCUUUUCUGCACCACGGAGGCUGCCCCUCUGCAGAGGUUUCCCCGCAGUGGAGGUUUCCCCCGUUAUGGAGCCGUCCCCGUGACGGAGGUUUCCCCAUCACUGAGGUUCCCCCACGGUGGGGUUCCCUCUAUGGCAGAGGUUCCCCCGUUCUGGGCACUCCCGCACGGCAGAUGGUGGAAAUAUCCUCCUGGUGAAGGUCUCCCCAAUCGCGGAGGUUCCUCCCUGCUGGAGGUGUCCCCACAGCGGAGGUUUGUCCUACAGUGGAGCUUUCCUCCUUGAUGGAGCCUUCCCCGCUGAUGGACGUUCCCCCAUUAUUGAGGCUCCCCCAGGAUGGAGGCUUCUUCACAGUAGGGUCCCACCGAGAUGGAGGUCCCCCAUCGGUUUCCCCGUGACAGAGGUUUCCCAUAACCGGGGUUCCCCUAUGGUGGAGGUUUCCCCAUUAGGGAUGUUUCCCCGUCACUGAGGUUUCUCUGCAAUGGAGGAUCCCAUUGAUGGAGGGUCCCCUUAACGGAGCUUCCUCCCAUGAUGGAGGCUCCACUGAUGGAGGUUCCCCCAUUGAUAGAGGUUCCCCCAUUGAUGGAGGUACUCCCCAUAAGCGCGGUUCCCACUGAUGGAGGUUCCCAUUGGUGGAGGUUCCCACUGAUGGAGGUUCCCAUUGAUGGAAGUUCCCACUGAUGGAUGUUCCCACUGAUGAAGGCUCCCAUUGAUGGAGGCUCCCCAGCGCAGCCCCCCACCCUGGCAGGCUAUGGGGCAGAGGAGCACUGGGAGGAGAAGCAGUGGGGCAGCGGUGUCGGGUUUGUGCAGACGUGGAGCUGUGUGGGGCUGAGCCCCCCGCGCUGCCCCCCCCGCUGCCCCCCCGCCUGCGCUCCCCUUCCUCUGCUUUGAUUUCUCAUUUCUCUUUUCUUGUUUCUUUUUAUGAUUUUUCCUUUCUCUUUUUUUCUUUUUCUUUGUUUCAUUCCCCCCUUUUCCUCUUUCUUUUUAUUUAUUCUUUUUCCUCUCUUUUCCUUUUUCUCAUUUCUUUUGGCUUUUCCUUCUUUUUCUUUUUCUUCCUCUUUUUUCCUUUUGUUGCUUUUUCUUUCCAUCUUUUUUUCCUUUUUUUCCUUUCUUUCCUUUUUUCUUUUCUCACUUUUUUUAGUUAUUUUCCUCUAUUUUUUCUGGUUUCUUCUUUCCUUUGAUUUUAUUUUUAUUUUUCUCUCUUUUUUUCCCAAUUUUCUCUCCGUUUUUCUUUUUCCCAAUUUUUCU
ensembl:lncRNA